rnacentral:lncRNA from 1 species
ACGAGUAUUUUACAGAGAGCCGACAAGGAAUUCCAUUAAUAACUGGCCGUUUUGAUCCUUUGGAACAACUCGAUGAAUUUAGUAGAUCGUUUUAGGAGGCCCUAAUGACUAUAGAUCGAACCUAUCCAAUUUUUACAGUACGAUGGUUGGCUGUUCACGGCCUAGCUGUACCUACCGUCUUUUUUUUGGGAUCAAUAUCAGCAAUGCAGUUCAUCCAACGAUAAACUUAAUCCGAAUUAUAGAGCUACGACACAAUCAAACCCGAACGAACAAAAUGUUGAAUUGAAUCGUACCAGUCUCUACUGGGGGUUAUUACUCAUUUUUGUACUUGCUGUUUUAUUUUCCAAUUAUUUCUUCAAUUAAGAAAAAGAAAGAGAAUAAAUAAGAUUCUCUUAGCUCAUUCGGAAGGAUCUCAUAAUUUAAUUAUCCAUGACUGUUUAUGUCUCUAGCAUGACCACUUGAUGAAAUCUGGAGGGAAGUGGGGUAAAUGGCCGAUACUACUGGAAGGAUUCCUCUUUGGAUAAUAGGUACUGUAGCUGGUAUUCUUGUAAUCGGUUUAAUAGGUAUUUUCUUUUAUGGUUCAUAUUCCGGAUUGGGUUCAUCCCUGUAGUAAUCGAAUGAAUUGAGUUAUCAACAUGAAAGCGUAAGAACUCAACGGGAUUCCCUUCCUUGUUUGUUUGAUUCGAAGGGGAAGGGCCCGUUGAGUUCUUAAGAAUCAUACUAUUUUUUUCGUCUAAAUGAUAAAAUGAAAUAAUAAAAUGGAUUUCUUUUUCUUUUCAAAAACUCCAUUUUUCUCAUUUUUCUGAUCAUGUUUUUUAAAAAUUCACUUCAUUGAUUUAUUCAGACCACCUCUUCUUUUUAUAUGAUAGUAUCUAUUUGUAUAAGAUAAGUUGAUUGAAGAAGUUUUAUUUAAUUAAUAAAAUUUCCUCUCUUUUUUUGUUUUGUUUGUCCACCACUCCAUAUAUUAUACGUAAAGGGGGCGUAGGGUAACGGGUUUCUGAUACAUCUGGAAAAAUCGAAACCAAGACUAGGAAUUUUUAACAAACAGGAUCAAGAAUCAUUACUCUUUCGUUUCGACACAAGAAAAAAGGAUUUUUCUACACCCCUUUCUUGUGUCGAAGACUGGGAAGACAAAUAAUCCCUUCUAGGAUUUUUUCUUCCACGCAUUUAUCCCCCGCUUCCUUAUGUCUAGUAUUUAGACAAAUUUUACUUUCUUUCUAUUUAGAAUAGAAAACUAUUGAUACGUCUUAUGUCUUAUGGCAGUGAAAUCUAUCAAUAGUAACAUAGUCCUACUACUCCAAUAAAAAAAACUAAAUCAAAAUAAUGAAAGUCAAAUACUCUUCUUUAAAUUCUACAUUACAUACUCUUUUUCUACGAGAUGCUGGGAAUCCCUUGUACCACAUAGUAUGUAGAUUUUGAAGAAGAGUAUAAAUAAGACAAAGGAGUUUUCAGAAUUUAAUUUUUUUUUUAUUUUUUUGAUCAUAAAUAAUCGCCAACAAGAAUUUGGUUCUUUUUACGAACUUGAUAUCGAUAAAUCUGCGAAUCUAGAAAUUCAUUUCGGCCAAUUGAACCUUCUCAAACUGUUUCUUUUUAAGAACCAAAAAGAUUUGUGCCAAAAUAACAGAUGCCAAGAAGAACAAAAGUCCUUGGACACGUAAUGGAUCUUGAAGUACUAUUUCUGCAUCUCCCUGACCAAAUCCGCCUAUAUUAGGAUUACUCGUUAAUGGUUGAUCAAAUUUGAUAGAUUCGCCCUCGGAAACAAGAAGUUCUGGUCCGGGAGGGAUAAUAUCAACCACUUGACGUCCCUCCGACGCAUCCGUUAUGGUUAUCUCAUAUCCCCCUUUUUCUUUUCGUAUGAUUUUGCUUACUAUACCUGCUGCUGUAGCAUUAUAAACCGUAUUGUUACUCUUGCUGCCGUCGGGAUAAAUCUGACCCCUUCCCCUGUUACCGCCUACGUAUAUAGGAUAUUUUAAGAAGUGAACAUCCUUCGUAGUAGCAGGGUCCGGGGAAAGAAUAGGGAAGGUUAUUUCACUAUAUUUUUUACCAGGGACAGGGCCUACCACAAGAAUAUUUUUUUUAUUGGGGCGAUAGCUCUGAAAAGACAAAUUGCCAAUCCUUUCUUUCAUCUCGGGAGAAAUACGAUCGGGAGGAGCUAAUUCAAACCCCUCCGGUAAAAUAAGAACAGCCCCCACGUUCAACCCCCCCUUUUUACCAUUAGCAAGAACCUGUUUCAGUUGCAUAUCAUAAGGAAUUCGAACAACUGCUUCAAAUACAGUAUCAGGAAGUACCGCUUGUGGAACCUCAAUCUCCACGGGCUUAUUAGCUAAAUGGCAAUUGGCACAUACAAUACGCCCAGUCGCUUCUCGUGGAUUUUCAUAACCCUGCUGUGCAAAAAUGGGAUAUGCACUUGAAAUGGAUGUCCGAGUUAAGAUAUAUAUCAUGAGCGAUACGGAAAUAGAUCGAGUAAUCUGUUUCUUUAGCCAAGAAAAAGCAUUUCUAGUUUGCAUGGUCCAAUCAUUGAUCGCGAAAAUUUCUACAAUAAAUUGGGUAGGUCGCUAGUAUAGUUCCCUAGCCACGAUUCUGCUAUUUGCUGGAAUAAUCUAGAAAUAAUAUAGGAUGAAUCUUCCCGAUGGUUAGAAAUAGAAAGAUAAAAUACGAUUUUCAAUACUUUGCUUAUGUACAACUACAAAGUACCAAGCAUUCUAAUUGGAUUAGAUUAAUAUCAAUGGAUCCUUUAUCAGUCAUUCAUUGAAUGAUAAAUAACUACAAGUGACGGAGACAGACGAUUUAAAUAACGGAAAAUCCAAUAUUUAAAAAUUGUAUCGAGAAUGACUGGGAAGGUGGAAACAAGACCAGAUAUAAUUUGAUCAUUAUGAACAAACCCAAAAUCUUUAUAGAUAGAGCCAAUAAUUAAUUCCCAACCGCGGGGUGAAUGGAAUCCGAUACAUAAAUCAGUUAAUAAAAGAAUAGAAAAAGCUUUUACUGUGUCACUUACGUUAUAUAGGAAUUCCUGAGCCCAAGAGUUAAGAAUAACAAGUUUUUCAUUACCCAAAAUUGAAUACCCGCUUAGAAUAAUAAAACAGAUGAUAUUUGUUGAGAAGUGCAAAAUCGUAUGGAUACGAUUCUCAUUUUGCAUCUUGAUUAAUUGGAUCGUUUCUUUAUGGAUUCCUAUCCCAAACUCUUCGAGAUGUGUUUCCGAGUAUUCCUUGAUCAUUUCGUCCAAGAAGAGGAGUUCCUCUAAUUCUAUGAAUUUUUCUAGAAGACUCUUUUCUUGAAUAGUAUUCAAGAAAAUUUCGGAUUGCCCAGUAUUCCACCAAUUAGUAACCCAAGAUUCCAGACAUUUAUUAACUGAGAAAGAAAUCCACCAGGGCAAAAAUACUAUAUAUGCAAGAUAGAAAAGAGGGGUGAAUGCUUUCUUUUUUGCCAUUUUUUCAUCUGUGAAUUGUUAAUCAACCCAUCCGUACACUCUAUGCGAUCGAAUAUUUCUUACACACAUGAGUUUUAUACAAGGUAUCGAACUUAUGAAUCUAUUUUCUUUGUGAUUUUGUGGUUAGUCUUUGAAUCUAGAAAGAAUACAGAAAUAGGCUAAGAAUUCACUUCGAAUGAAGAAAUUGAGAAUAUUGUUUCCUGAUAUCUCAAUUGGUCAAAUUCAAAAUCAAGUGUCUCCUUUCGAUGAAUGAUCGAAAGAACCACUUUAAGUAAUGAAUAUUGUUCAGAUUUUGAGAAGAAAGAACUCCCUUGCUAUCAAAAUAUCCAAUAUUUCGAAAAAAUUUCACUAAUUACCCAUAGUCAGGAAUAGAAUAAUUGAGGGAAAGAUAUUACGAUGAUAAAAAAAAAUGACUGGCAAAAGAUAAAUUGGCUAGUUCUCAUUAUUUAAUUAAGAAAUCCAAUUGUUGGUCAUUAAAGAAUACAAAAGAAAGAAUUUCCAAUUUACAAGAUAUGAUCUAUCUGGAUCUAAAGUGUCAAUUCCAACAAAUAUUGAACUAAAAAAAAUUUCUUGAUUUCGAAAUGGUUUGCCAUCUGAGAUGAAUCUAUUAUUUCGAUUUGUUAUUUGUUAUUGAAUUGCGUGGGUUUACAUACGCAUAAAGACCAUAAAAAGAGUUUCGUUUUAUGGUUCUUUCAUAUACGUUUUCUUUAAUUGAAUGAACGUUCUGAUUCUCAAUUUCUCAAAAUACUUCAAUUGGUACACGCAAGAAAUAGGCUAAUUCAGCAGCCUUUUGUUCAAUUUCUCGUGGAGUCAAAUUCUCAUCAGUACGGGUUAAGGGAAUGGACCCCUGGCCUCGGAUGUCCAUAUAAAGAACACGACGAGCAUAAAUACCCUCUUUAACUUCUAUUCUAACGGACUGAAUAUCUUUUAUAAGGAAUCGGAGGAAUAUGCGACGAUUUUUUCCCGGAAAUCCCCAACGAAAAAUACAGACUAUUCCUUCCUUUAUAUCGAAUCGAUCAUAACCACUACCUACAUUCCAGGAAAUUGUGCACCACAAAUAAGAGCUAAUAAAGAGACCCGCAAUUCCGUAGAAAGACAUCACGAUUCCUUGUGGAAAAAAAAUGAUUUGCUGAGGCGGAAAAAAAGAUAUCAAAUUUCUACCAAGAUAACUGGAAGUUCCAACUAAUAAGAAGCCUAAUGAACCUAAAAAAAGGAUAAAGGCCCAGCAGAAAUUACUUAUUUUUCGAGACCCCGUUAUAAGUUCUAUCCAUAUAUGUUCUGAUCGCCAAGUCAUACUUUACCCGAUUGCAUUUUAUUAGAAUUGAGAUAAUACCCCAUAGAAAUUUGACUUUACUUUUUUGUUUCCGAAGUAACUCUCAUCAACUAGCACUAGUUUGAGGUGAACUAGCACUAGUUUGAUGUCAACCUUUAGGAGUAAUUCAUCAAAUUGGUUAAAUCUAAAAUAAUAACAUACUCUUUAUUUAAUACGAUCCCACUAUACAUAUCGAUAUACAUAGAGAUUAACCGACUACAUUUCAGCCAUCCAGUGAUCCUGAUCUAUUUGAAAAUUACUAGAAUGGAUAUAUCCAUAUAUCAUGUUUCUGCAGGCAUAAGAGUUUUUUCCUUUAUGUUCGGUAGAAAUCACAUGUUAUACUCUAUUCCAAUAAAUAGAUAUCCGUGUUAUGAUACAAGUCCACGUUUUCAAAAAAAAAUGGAUGAGAUUGGGUCCCAGCGUAUCUAAACAAUCUUGUUUUUUUGAACAUGAAUAAAUAAAGAAGCCAUUGCAAUUGCCGGAAAGACUAGGCCUACUAACGGCACAAAAAUAGAUGGAAGGUUCAAAUUUGUCAUAGAAGGGGUACCUCGAUUUACUAUAUUGUAUCUGUUAUUAUGUUAUUAUAUAAAUAAAGAUAUCUUGUAAUAAUUAAAUAAUUAUAAUUAAAUUAAGAAUUUGAAUUCUAAUUAGAUAAUAUUUAUUAUUAAUAGAAUUUGAAGAAUUUGAAAUUCUUAGUAUAGAUCUAAGUAUCUAUAUAUCUAAAUCUAACUGAGUACGUAUAAUAAGAAUAAGUGCAAAGAAUGUAGAACUAAAUAAAUGGACUUAUUCAUCUCUUACAUGAGAAAGAUAUGUAUCAUAAUAAACUUUAUUAUUCAUUUCUUUGUCUUUUGUUCUUGUCUUCUAAUUUUCUAAAAAUAGAUAAAGAGAUUAUCGAAAGAUUCGUUCGAAUCCGACCCAACAUGAAUUUUUAGCUAAAAUGGUUUUUAGGGAGAUAGAGAAAGAUACAAAACUCUAUUAUCUAUAUUUUAAUUUCAAAUUAUAUACCUAAGACAAGAAGAAAUUCGUUUUAUUUUCCUAAUUUCACGAAAGGAAGAACUCACUCUUGGUGAUAAAGGCUUCUUGAUUCGUAAUCAGGAAUAUAGGUCAAAAAAGAGUUAUCCUCAACUUUAGUUUUGAUUCUUUCUACAAUUAGAUCUUCUAUCACCAAAGAAAGGGCCAUUAUUAUCUUAUUUACUUUAUCUUAUUUACUUUGAUUCCGAUAAACUAACUACUUUUUUGCUACAAACACAAAUAAAAUAAAAUAAUGGCCUUAGUGCUCUACUUGAUUUUGCUUGACUUUUGAUUCAAAGGAAAAAAGGCGUGGAGCUUAAAUAACUCACUCAGAACGCUUUUUAAAAGAUUACGUGGUACAAUUAGGUCGAAUAAACCCUUCUGGAAUAAGUAUUCAGCUACUUGUGAACCUUCGGGUACUGUUUUAUUCAAUGUUUGUUCAAUUACUCUUUUACCUGCAAAUGCAAUGUAGGCAUUGGGUUCGGCAAUAAUGAUAUCCCCCAACAUACCAAAACUAGCUGUCACUCCACCAGUUGUCGGAGAUGUAAGGAUUGAUACAUAAAAUAAUUUUUUAUUUAAUUGAUAAUCAUAUAAAGCAGACGAUAUUUUAGCCAUUUGCAUCAAGCUCAAACUUCCUUCCUGCAUGCGCGCCCCCCCAGAAGCACACACUAUAAUAAGAGGUAAAAUUUGAUUGGCAGCGUGUUCAAUCAAACGGGUGAUUUUCUCUCCGACUACGGAUCCCAUACUACCCCCCAUAAACUGAAAAUCCAUAACCCCAAUUGCUACGGGAAUGCCGUUUAUUUGGCCUAUGCCUGUUUGAACAGCCUCGGUUAAUCCUGUCUUUCUUUGAUAAGAAUCAAUACGAUCUUUAUAAGGCUCCUCUUCCGAAUGAAAUUCAAUGGGAUCCAGAGAGACCAUGUCUUCAUCCAUAGGAUCCCAAGUACCCGGAUCGACCAAAAGUUCAAUUCUAUCCGAACUACUCAUUUUCAAAUGAUAUCCACAUUGUUCACAAAUAUUCAUUUUUGAUUUAAAAAAUUUCUUAUAAUUUAAUCCAUAACAAUUCUCGCAUUGAACCCACAAAUGCCUGUAUUUUUGAGUUACCUCGAGAUCAUUAGAACUUUCUCUUAUAGUUAAAUCACUGCCAUUAGUUAAAUCACUGCCAAUAGUUAAAUCACUGCCAAUAGUUAAAUCACUGCCAAUAGUUAAAUCACUGCCAAUAGUUAAAUCACUGCCAAUAGUUAAAUCACUGCCAAUAGUUAAAUCACUGCCAAUAGUUAAAUCACUGCCAAUAGUUAAAUCACUGCCAAUAGUUAAAUCACUGCCAAUAGUUAAAUCACUGCCAUUAGAACUUUCUCUUAUAGUUAAAUCACUGCCCUUUGUGCGAGUUUGUAUACUGGAACCCUCGUUUUCACUGACGCCGUUGAGUUUACCACCGUAGAACUCAACUGUUACACCUACUUGUUUAAUACUAUACUUCGAUUCUGCCCUUCUAAAAGGAACAUCGGCUCUAACAAUUCCAUCGCCAUCUACUAAAAUGACCGGAUAUGUUUCAAAAAAAGUAGGCAUACGACGUACAAAAAGUCCACGCCCUUCUUUAUCUCUAAAGAUUGGGUGUCCUAACCAUGCAACCACUAUUCCAUCCCCGUUAUCCAUUGAACCUGCUCUGAAUAAUCCUCCUUUUGUCAUCUUAUUGCUGAUGUAAUCAUAAAAAGCUAAUUUUUUAGGAAUUUUAGACCAGGCUUCUGAUAAACUUUGAUUUUCUACUAGCUCAUCACUAAAUCUUCGAUAUAUUUCUUACUGGAAGUUUCCUUGAUCCUAUUGAUAAUAAGUGGGCCCAAAUAAUUCAAUCCGAGUAGUUGCUGAACCAUACCAUAUAGUUUCAGCAAUAAUAAAAGCUGUAAAAAAGACAGAAGUAAUACUAUUGGAAAGGACGAUUUCAAUAUUUCCCAUACACAAUCCUUUGUAUAUACGUUGUGGUGGAUAGACGCUAAGAUGGAAUAGGCCCGCUAAUUGCCCAAUGUUCCUGCUGCAAUAUGAUGAGAGGCUAUUCCUCCUGGAACAAAAGGAUCAAAACCUUCCACGCCCUACGCUGGAUUUACAAGUUGUACUUUUCUCGUUAGUCCAUAAGGAUCAGACACCCAUAUUCUAGGACCAUACAAGCCUAUUACAUGACAUGCACCAAAACCAAAGCAAGCUACCCCUGAGAGAAAUAAAUGAAUUCCAAAGAUCUUUGGCAAAUCUAAAGAGGGUUUUCCUGUACGUUCAUCAUAAAAUAUUUCUAGAUCCCAAUACACCCAAUGCCAGAUAGCUGCCAAAAAGCAUAAGCUAGAAAACUCAAUAUGUUCUCCCGCUACACCUUCAUAACUCCAAAUACCCAGAUUUGUUACAGUCCCCCCUAUAAUACUCCAAUCGCCCUUAUUCCUAAGCGAGUCAUGAAGGAUAUAAUGAACAUACCCUAUAUCCAUAUUAGAUCAAGAACAGGAUCAUAAGGAUCAAAAACCUCUAAUUCAUACAGAGCCAUCGAACCGGCCCAACCAACAACCAGAGCUAUAUGCAUUAUAUGGACAGAAAGCAAUCGACCAGGAUCAUUCAAUACAAUGGUAUGAACAUGAUACCAAGGCAAACCCAUGGAAAUACCCCUUAUAUCAAAGAUAAAUGGGCACUACAUAACUUUUUUGCAUUAGAAACGACUAUAAUAUGACUGUCAUAUGGACCACUCCUGUUCAAUCGAUUAUUUACGAAUCAAGGGUGUUCUAUUCUGGUGGUAAUAAUAAAACAAUUCUGUUCGUAGGAACAAAGAGAAGCAGAUUUAUCCUAUACUCGAUAAGUACUAAUACACAAUAAGGGAGUUGAUCUCAUUUUUUAUGAGAGAAUGAGUCCAUACUUAUUUAUCAUUAGAAAGACCUAUUUGUAAUAAUUUGAGUUUAUUCAUUCUGUCUUUCUUUAUGAAUUUUUAGAAUCUAUGGAUAAAAUAAAUACGAUAAGAAUCAAUAUGAAUAUUCUAAAGACAAUAAAAAAAUUGUUACGUUUCGACCUCAAAGUGAAAUAUAGUAUUUAGUUCUUUCUUUCAUUUAAUGCCUAUUGGUGUUCCAAAAGUUCCCUUCCGAGGUCCUAGAGAGGCAAAUCCAUUUUAGGUUGACGUGUAGUGUGACUUGUCAGAUAUAUUAGGUCAUAUGGUAUUUCUCCGUUCUCUUCCCCAAUCGAGAUAUCCCCCGUUUCACCCAAGAACGAUAAAACGAUAAAUUGAAUCAUAAAAAAUUUAGAGCAUGAAGUGCAAUUAGAUCCAUUUUUGAGGGGAUUCAUAUUAAUAUUAUCAAUUAGAACAAUUUAUGAUUGGCUUGGUUGGACUAAAAAAAUGAAGCAUCCAGGCUCCGUUUAGAAAAAACCCAAUUGGAUUGGUAAGAUAUCUAUGAUUGCUAUUCAUAUUUUUUAUUUGUAAAGAGAUCCUAAUUGUCAAUAAAAGUUAUCUCAACUCUAAUAAAUACUUGUAUAAAAUGAAUUGAAAAAAAAUACAAAAAGAAAUAGUAAUGGGAGCAUUUGUCCUAUAUGUACAAAUCCAAAUCGGACGGAUCUUUACCCGGAGUAGAGCAUAAACCUAAAAAGAUGAAACAGAACCAUUUAGGAACAAAAAAAUACCAUCGCGGCUUGGAUUAAAUAUCGAUGAAAGAAUACAUCAAUGAGAAGUUAAUUCGUAAGUUUAAUGACCCUUUCUUAUAACUUCUAAUUUUAUACUGGAAAAUCGAAAAUAGAAAUAUAAAAAAUGAGUCAAAACUCCUCUUUAUUGAAAAAUCAAAGAAAAUCCCUUUAGUUAGAAGUAUAAAGAACCUUUCUAGAAAAAAAGAAAGAGGACUAGAAUCUAUACAUUGAUUCACAAUUUUUUUGAACCGUAUGCAUCAAAAGGUGCAUGUACGGUUCCUAAGGAAUAUAAUUUUAUCCUAAUCAAUCGACUUUAUCGAUAAAUAUUACUUUUUUAGGCCAAGGUAUUACUAGAAAGAUUUUGAAUUAACUUAUUGGUCUUAUGGUAUAUCCCAGUAACGAGGAUGAGACCAAAGAGCUGUAUUUGUUUAUAAACUCUCCUGGGGCCUGGGUAAUACCUGGGGUGGCUAUUUAUGAUACUAUGUAAUUUGUGCGAUCAGAUGUCCAUACAGUAUGCAUGGGAUUAGCCGCUUCAAUGGGAUAUUUUAUCCUAGUCGGAGGAGAAAUUACCAAACGUCUAGCAUUCCCUUACGCUUGGCUCCAAUGAGGUUUUUAUUUGUGAGAAAAAAGAAGACUAUGCCUUCGCCAUAUGAAUACUAAGUAAUAAUAGCAUGGCACUGCGAAUUCGAUAUGAGAAAUUUUGUAUUGUUUUUUUCUUCAAAAAAUUAGACUCUAUAUCGAGAGAGUAGUAUGAGAUAAGGGGUAUUUCCAAUUUUCGCUUAUCUAUCGGGAGUUCGGUUCAGCGUCACAAACUUUUUUGUUUUCAUACCAUAGAGUUCUUAACAAUAUUUAUAUUAUGAAAGAGUACGAGAAAAAAGAUUUUUUCCUUAUUUGAUCGGAUUAAAAAGAAACUUUGGGAUUACUGAAUCACAGAUAAAAAAAAACAUAUAAAGCAACAGAGCCAUCAUAGUAUUUUUUAACUCCUCCAAAAGGAAGGAUGGCAAUUUGAUUAUUUACCCAUUGGAGUUUGAUAGAUUCUAUUUUUCUCUUUCUUCAAUAGAAAUGAGGGGUCAAUUUUGUUUUAGAGCCGUAUGCACAAAAGAUGCCUGUACGGUUGUUCAAUUCUAUCUUUUUUCUAUUCUUUAUCUUUCUUUUCUCUUUGCUUUAUCAUGCAAGUAGGAGAAGAUUUUAUUUUAUUAUAUCAUCAGGGUAAUGAUGCAUCAACCUGCUAGUGGUUUUUAUAUGGGACAAGUAACCAAAUGUGUCGUGGAAGCGGAAGAACUGCUGAAACUACAUGAAACCCUCACAAUGGUUUAUGUACAAUGAACGGGCAAACCUUCUGGGUUGUAUCCAAAUAUAUGGAAAGAGAUGUUUUUAUGUCAGAAAUAGAAUCCCAAGCUUAUAGAAUUGUUGAUCUUAUAGCGGUUCAAUGAAAAUAACAUGGAUUUUGCACAAAUCACAGAUUUUCAAUUUUAUCUUCGAAUUAAAUAUUCUAUUAAAUUGAAUAUUUUAUUAAAUAGUAGUAAUUCAUCAUCAUUUGUUUAGGACCAAUCUAAAAUAACCCAUCAUAUUAUGUAUACAAUUCAACAUGCCAACUAUUAAACAACCUAUUAGAAAUACAAGACAUCUAAUCAGAAAUGUCACAAAAUCCCCCACUCUUCAGGGGUGCCCUCAGCAUUGAGGAACAUGUACUAAGGUGUAUGUGCGACUCGUUUAAAUCAUGAGCUGGCACAAAAUAAAGAAAAUAACUUUUACAGUAUCAAUGAUCAGUACCGGUGAAUGGCAUAGGAUGGAAAAAGGAACUCCAUUCAUUAUUAAAAAAACUCUAUCAUAUCCCUCUAUUGUGUAUGAAGUUUAUGAUUUUCAUUGGUGUAAAUCUAAUCACCUGAAUUUAAGAUGAUAAGAAAUUCUCCAUUGGUAACAAAUGGUUAUCCAUUAAACGGAGCAAAUCUUAUUUUAAAAGCAUAAAACAUAAAGAUUAGUUAAGCUCCCAAUCUGGCAAGAACAGACUAAGAUGGUCAUCUACCCAGCAAACUUUCAUAAUUAAAUACUGUUACUGUAUAGGUAGAUCUAAUUGUCAAAGACCUAUUACUGGAUAAUUCAUGGGUAGAGCCAAAACGUGUGAACUAUACAAGUUCCCAAUAACAUCAAUUAGUUGAUUAAAUAUAUAUUAAAUUAAAGUAUAAAGUAAAGGCUCCGAUGUAUAGAGAAGACCUUACCAUUUAAGAAGUAACCAUAGAAAUGAAGGAAACCACUAUUUCUUUUUUUUUUUAAUUUCUUUUAUUUACUAUAUUUUUGAUACCUAGGAAAAUAUAAUUUCUUAUUUCUUUCUUAUUUCGUAGUGAAAUACCUAAAAAAAAUAACAAAAUCAUGGUCGGGAAGGUUAGAGUAGCCAAAGCCAUUGGAAUUUUUAUUUUAUACAUUGAAAAAAUCCGUUUUGUUAUUAAUAGACUAGGAAGGGGGAAAAGAAUAACUGAAAGAAAGGUGAUCAAUUAGUUAUCCAUCAAAGUUUCAUUUAUUCAAUGACCAGAAUUAAACGGGGAUAUAUAGCUUGGAGACAUAGAACAAAAAUUAAUUUAUUUUCAUCAAGCUUUCGAGGGGCUCAUUCAAGGCAUAUUAGAACUGUUACUCAACAGAAAAUAAGAGCUUUAGUUUGGCUCAUCGGGAUAGGGGUAGGAAAAAGAGAUAUUUUUGUUGUUUGUGGAUCACUCGGAUAAAUGUAGCAAUUCUCAAAAAGGAAGUCUCCCAUAGCUAUAGUAAAUUAAUGUACAAUCUAUAUAAUAGACGGUUGCUUCUUAACCGUAAAAUACUUGCACAAAUAGCUAUAGCAAAUAGGAAUUGUCUUUAUAUGAUUUUGAAGAAAAUCAACCUGGAGUCUUUAUCGGAGUCUUUAAAAACCCCCAGGAUCUCCUAAGAAUAAAUGGAGGUUUAUUCUACCGGACGAAUUAGAAAUUAGUAUGAGAGAAUAUGCUAAAGUAGUCAAAAUGAAUGAACACGUUCAAUUCAAUAAAAACAGAUUUUUUUUUUUCCGAUUCAUUUGUUUCUUACGACACGAUAUCAAAUCUAGAUUCACUCAAAUCUAGAUUUGAGUAAUUAUGAUUCAAGAAAAGAAAA